rnacentral:rRNA from 1 species
CCUACGGGUGGCAGCAGUGAGGAAUAUUGGUCAAUGGACGAGAGCCUGAACCAGCCAAGUCGCGUGAAGGAUGACUGCCCUACGGGUUGUAAACUUCUUUUAUAAAGGAAUAAAGUGAGGCACGUGUGCCUUUUUGUAUGUACUUUAUGAAUAAGGAUCGGCUAACUCCGUGCCAGCAGCCGCGGUAAUACGGAGGAUCCGAGCGUUAUCCGGAUUUAUUGGGUUUAAAGGGAGCGUAGGUGGGUUGUUAAGUUAGUUGUGAAAGUUUGUGGCUCAACCGUAAAAUUGCAGUUGAUACUGGCAGUCUUGAGUACAGUAGAGGUGGGCGGAAUUCGGGGUGUAGCGGUGAAAUGCUUAGAUAUCACGAAGAACCCCGAUUGCGAAGGCAGCUCACUGGACUGAGACUGACACUGAGGCUCGAAAGUGUGGGUAUCAAACAGGAUUAGAUACCCGAGUAGUC